rnacentral:rRNA from 1 species
GAUGAACGCUGGCGGUAUGCUUAACACAUGCAAGUCAAACGAUUUUAUAGUGACGGACGGGUGAGUAAUGUGUAAGAAUCUACAUUUAGGAGAGGGAUAACAAUUGGAAACGUUUGCUAAUACCUCGUAAUGCUAUUAAGUUAAAGAAGAUUUACGGAUCUUUGCCUAGAUAUGAGCUUGCAUCUGAUUAGCUAGUAGGUGAGGUAAAGGCUCACCUAGGCUUCGAUCAGUAGCUGGUCUGAGAGGACGACCAGCCACACUGGAACUGAGACACGGUCCAGACUCCUACGGGAGGCAGCAGUGGGGAAUAUUGCACAAUGGACGAAAGUCUGAUGCAGCAACGCCGCGUGGAGGAUGACACAUUUCGGUGCGUAAACUCCUUUUAUAUAGGAAGAUAAUGACGGUACUAUAUGAAUAAGCACCGGCUAAACUCCGUG